rnacentral:rRNA from 1 species
GACGAACGCUGGCGGCGUGCUUAACACAUGCAAGUCGAACGGAAAGGCCCUGCUUUUGUGGGGUGAUCGAGUGGCGAACGGGUGAGUAACACGUGAGUAACCUGCCCUUGACUUUGGGAUAACUUCAGGAAACUGGGGCUAAUACCGGAUAGGAGCUCCUGCUGCAUGGUGGGGGUUGGAAAGUUUCGGCGGUUGGGGAUGGACUCGCGGCUUAUCAGCUUGUUGGUGGGGUAGUGGCUUACCAAGGCUUUGACGGGUAGCCGGCCUGAGAGGGUGACCGGCCACAUUGGGACUGAGAUACGGCCCAGACUCCUACGGGAGGCAGCAGUGGGGAAUAUUGCACAAUGGGCGGAAGCCUGAUGCAGCAACGCCGCGUGCGGGAUGACGGCCUUCGGGUUGUAAACCGCUUUCGCCUGUGACGAAGCGUGAGUGACGGUAAUGGGUAAAGAAGCACCGGCUAACUACGUG